rnacentral:rRNA from 1 species
UACGUAGGGUGCAAGCGUUGUCCGGAAUUAUUGGGCGUAAAGCGCGUGUAGGCGGCUUGGUAAGUCUGCUCUGAAAGCCCGGGGCUCAACCCCGGGAGGCGGGUGGAUACUGUCAAGCUCGAGUCCGGAAGAGGAGUGUGGAAUUCCUGGUGUAGCGGUGAAAUGCGUAGAUAUGCGGAGGAACACCGAUGGCGAAGGCAAUCCCCUGGGCCUGCACUGACGCUCAUGCACGAAAGCGUGGGGAGCAAACAGG